rnacentral:rRNA from 1 species
CCUACGGGAGGCAGCAGUGGGGAAUAUUGCGCAAUGGGCGAAAGCCUGACGCAGCGACGCCGCGUGAGGGAUGAAGGCCUUCGGGUUGUAGACCUCUUUCAGCAGGGAAGAAGCGAAAGUGACGGUACCUGCAGAAGAAGCACCGGCUAACUACGUGCCAGCAGCCGCGGUAAU